GAAAGCGACGAAAAACAGGGGAAGAAAAAAGGAAAGAAAAAGAAAAGGGGAAAUUGAGAUUUUAAAGCUUCAAGUUAAUUGCUAACAAGGAAAACGAGGCAUCGGCAUCCAAAGGAAAAGAAAAGAUCGUUGAGGAGUAAACGCGUAUUCCGGGUUGUAGAAGUCAAGUAUUGAGCCAAUAUCCAAAACCAGACCCGACUUCAGCAAAUUUUGGUGAUGUAUAUUUUCUUUUAGAAUGUGGCAUGUACAUAGGAUGUGU